rnacentral:lncRNA from 1 species
AGUGUCGUCGUAGCAUGAAGACUCUUCAAAACUUGUCGAGUCGUCGAAGGAGAUAACGAAGAGAUGGCACAUCAGAGGUAGACACCGCAUCANNNNNNNNNNAAAAAAAGAAUUGAUAAUCCAAAUCCGCGUCUUGAGAGUGUCAUCGUAGCAUGAAGAGUCUUCAAAACUUGUCGAGUCGCCGAAGGAGAUAACGAAGAGAUGGCACAUCAGAGGUAGACACCGCAUCACUUGAAGAUACAAGAUAAGUAUCAAGUGAAGAUGGGUUGUCAAAAGAAGAUGGCACAUCAAGAGAAUAAAGCAUUGUGCAGAAAAUCAUAGUCCAUGACAACCGUCGGCGAAAGAAGCUCGGCGGAUAAGGCACGAUGGACGUAGAUCGACAAUGCAAAAGAAAUCCAG